GAUGAACGCUGGCGGCGUGCCUAAUACAUGCAAGUCGAGCGAACGGACGAGAAGCUUGCUUCUCUGAUGUUAGCGGCGGACGGGUGAGUAACACGUGGAUAACCUACCCAUAAGACUGGGAUAACUUCGGGAAACCGGAGCUAAUACCGGAUAAUAUUUUGAACCGCAUGGUUCAAAAGUGAAAGACGGUCUUGCUGUCACUUAUAGAUGGAUCCGCGCUGCAUUAGCUAGUUGGUAAGGUAACGGCUUACCAAGGCAACGAUGCAUAGCCAACCUGAGAGGGUGCUCGGCCACACUGGCACUGAGACACGGUCCAGACUCCUACGGGAGGCAGCAGUAGCGAAUCUCCCGCAAUGGGCGAAAGCCUGACGGAACAACGCCGCGUGAGUGAUGAAGGUCUUCGGAUCGUAAAACUCUGUUAUUAGGGAAGAACAUAUGUGUAAGUAACUGUGCACAUCUUGACGGUACCUAAUCAGAAAGCCACGGCUAACUACGUG
rnacentral:rRNA from 1 species